AAUGAACGCUGGCGGCAUGCCUAACACAUGCAAGUCGAACGAGGCCUUCGGGUCUAGUGGCGCAUGGGUGCGUAACGCGUGGGAACCUGCCCUUAGGUUCGGAAUAACUCUCCGAAAGGGGUGCUAAUACCGGAUAAUGUCCUCGGACCAAAGAUUUAGCGACCUUGGAUGGGCCCGCGUUGGUUACGCUUGUUGGUAGCGUAAAAGCCUACCACGGCGACGAUCCAUAGCUGGUCUGAGAGGAAGAUCAGCCACACUGAGACUGAGACACGGCCCAGACUACUACAGGAGGCAGCAGUGGGGAAUAUUGGAAAAUCGCCUGAAGAAUGAUCCAGCUAUGCCGCGUGAGCGAUGAAGGACUUAGGGUUGUAAAGCUCUUUUACCCGGGAUGAUAAUGACAGUACCGGGAGAAUAGGCACCGGCUAACUUCGUG
rnacentral:rRNA from 1 species